rnacentral:rRNA from 1 species
UACGUAGGGUGCAAGCGUUAAUCGGAAUUACUGGGCGUAAAGCGUGCGCAGGCGGUUUUGUAAGACAGGCGUGAAAUCCCCGGGCUUAACCUGGGAAUUGCGCUUGUGACUGCAAGGCUGGAGUGCGGCAGAGGGGGAUGGAAUUCCGCGUGUAGCAGUGAAAUGCGUAGAUAUGCGGAGGAACACCGAUGGCGAAGGCAAUCCCCUGGGCCUGCACUGACGCUCAUGCACGAAAGCUAGGGGAGCAAACGGG